rnacentral:rRNA from 2 species
UACGAAGGGGGCUAGCGUUGCUCGGAAUUACUGGGCGUAAAGGGCGCGUAGGCGGAUACUUAAGUUAGAGGUGAAAGCCCAGGGCUCAACCCUGGAAUAGCCUUUAAUACUGGGUAUCUUGAGUUCGGGAGAGGUGAGUGGAAUGCCGAGUGUAGAGGUGAAAUUCGUAGAUAUUCGGCGGAACACCAGUGGCGAAGGCGACUCACUGGCCCGAUACUGACGCUGAGGCGCGAAAGCGUGGGGAGCAAACAGG